ensembl:lncRNA
CUGCUGUGUUUGGCAGUCACUGAUAGACUUAAGACGUGGUAUCCAAAACCCACAGUAAUAGAAGACAGAAUCUUCGCAAUAUUAAGUUAACUCCUUAACCGUAAAAGGAAUCUUUAGUUUUAUUAAUAAAAACAUGAAAGAGGAUAGGUUGUAUCCCAGGCAGUUGACACUUGGAGUGGUUGCACCAAAGUACAUCUGUAUGCAGGCACUGGUAGUGGCCCUUCUGCAAGCUGUUCUUCCUCCAUCUUAUCUGCAAUGUGAUUCUGGCCAAGUCUGGGAAAAUUUUAUGCUUUUAAAAGUAACAGCCUCUUUUCCGGCUUUGGGACAUUGUGAAGAUAUACUUGGGACUGCUGCAGCCAUCUUGCAUCCGUGAGGCUUCCUUCAAAGCAAGAGCUGAGUGGCUGAGGAUAUAGCUCAAGCUAAAGCUUUAAGCUCAGCACACGGUCCUGAGUUCAAUCCCCAGUACAAAAUAAAAAGCAAGAGCUGAAGACCUAUGAAGACAGAGAGUAAAGAAAAAAGAACUCAAGUCCUUGGUGAUGCCAAUGAACUGCUGAAAUAGCCAGUCCUAAAACCCUGACCUCAGCCCUCUUGUUUUGAUUCAGAAAUGUAUUUUUACCUUUUAAUAGUUCCAAAUGCAGGCUAUGUCUUACGAGCAAUGACAUCUCAGUUUCUGUCAAAUACAAAAGCAUGUAAGAAUAAUUCCCUGGAAGAAUGCAUCAUGAAAAUCCCAGACAGUGGUUUGACUGCGAGUUACAGUUCUGUUAUAGUGUGGAUGUUGAAUGUCCUCCAAAGACCUGUAUGUUAAAAGUUUAGGAGCUAAGCAGUUGGCACCACCUCCCAUCCACCAUGAUGUGCUGCCUUACUAGAGGCCCAAAGCAAAGGCCCAAGUGCCUUUAAUCUCGGACUGGACUCUCCAGAACUGUGAGCCAAAAUAAAACUUUUACCUUUGUAAGAGAAUUAUCUCAGGUGUUUUAUUAUAGUAACAGGAUGCUAACAUAACCACCAUGCUAUGUUUCCCAAAAUAUUCUGCAGUGACAUUGGAACAUUUUUGCAUAACUCCAGUGAUUUCAGUUCAUCCUCCUACAAAGUUCAUCGUGAAAACAUUCAGGAUUUUUUUCUUCGUUGAAGAUUGUCAAUCAAUGCCACAAAUCCUGUUCAGCAAAAAUCUUAGAUCACUGAAUGUAGCUUUAACUUUCUGGAGGAGGAGAAAUGUAACAGUGUAUACUCUAUUUUUUGAGAAUAGAGAUCUUGGAGUUGUAGAUUACUUCUUUGAGUUUACAAUAGUAUUCAGGAAGAAAAGCCAUGCAUUUUACUCACCUGCUCUGCAGAGCUGUUGCC